GAACGGUAACAGGUUAAGCUGACGAGUGGCGAACGGGUGAGUAAUAUAUCGGAACGUGCCCAGUCGUGGGGGAUAACUGCUCGAAAGAGCAGCUAAUACCGCAUACGACCUGAGGGUGAAAGCGGGGGAUCGCAAGACCUCGCGCGAUUGGAGCGGCCGAUAUCAGAUUAGGUAGUUGGUGGGGUAAAGGCCCACCAAGCCAACGAUCUGUAGCUGGUCUGAGAGGACGACCAGCCACACUGGGACUGAGACACGGCCCAGACUCCUACGGGAGGCAGCAGUGGGGAAUUUUGGACAAUGGGCGCAAGCCUGAUCCAGCCAUGCCGCGUGCGGGAAGAAGGCCUUCGGGUUGUAAACCGCUUUUGUCAGGGAAGAAAAGGUUCUGGUUAAUACCUGGGACUCAUGACGGUACCUGAAGAAUAAGCACCGGCUAACUACGUG
rnacentral:rRNA from 1 species